rnacentral:rRNA from 1 species
AGUGAACGCUGGCGGUAGGCCUAACACAUGCAAGUCGAACGGCAGCACAGUAAGAGCUUGCUCUUACGGGUGGCGAGUGGCGGACGGGUGAGGAAUACAUCGGAAUCUACUUUUUCGUGGGGGAUAACGUAGGGAAACUUACGCUAAUACCGCAUACGACCUACGGGUGAAAGCAGGGGAUCUUCGGACCUUGCGCGAUUGAAUGAGCCGAUGUCGGAUUAGCUAGUUGGCGGGGUAAAGGCCCACCAAGGCGAAGAUCCGUAGCUGGUCUGAGGGCAUGGUCAGGUACACUGGAACUGAGACACGGUCCCGACACCUAGGGGAGGCAGCAGUGGGGAAUAUUGGACAAUGGGGGAAAGCCUGAUCCAGCCAUACCGCGUGGGUGAAGAAGGCCUUCGGGUUGUAAAGCCCUUUUGUUGGGAAAGAAAAGCAGCAGUUUAAUACCCCGCUGUUCUGACGGUACCCAAAGAAUAAGCACCGGCUAACUUCGUG